rnacentral:rRNA from 1 species
AUUGAACGCUGGCGGCAUGCCUUACACAUGCAAGUCGAACGGUAACGGGUCUUCGGAUGCUGACGAGUGGCGAACGGGUGAGUAAUACAUCGGAACGUGCCUGGUAGUGGGGGAUAACUACUCGAAAGAGUGGCUAAUACCGCAUGAGAUCUACGGAUGAAAGCAGGGGAUCGCAAGACCCUGUGCUACUAGAGCGGCCGAUGGCAGAUUAGGUAGGUGGUGGGAUAAAAGCUUACCAAGCCGACGAUCUGUAGCUGGUCUGAGAGGACGAUCAGCCACACUGGGACUGAGACACGGCCCAGACUCCUACGGGGGGCAGCAGUGGGGAAUUUUGGACAAUGGGCGAAAGCCUGAUCCAGCAAUGCCGCGUGCAGGAUGAAGGCCUUCGGGUUGUAAACUGCUUUUGUACGGAACGAAAAGCCCCGGGUUAAUACCCUGGGGUCAUGACGGUACCGUAAGAAUAAGCACCGGCUAACUACGUGCCAGCAGCCGCCGUAA